CCUACGGGAGGCAGCAGUGGGGAAUUUUGGACAAUGGGCGAAAGCCUGAUCCAGCCAUUCCGCGUGAGUGAAGAAGGCCUUCGGGUUGUAAAGCUCUUUCGCAAGGGAAGAAAACUUAGGCGCUAAUAUCGCCUGAGGUUGACGGUACCUUGAUAAGAAGCACCGGCUAACUACGUGCCAGCAGCCGCGGUAAUACGUAGGGUGCGAGCGUUAAUCGGAAUUACUGGGCGUAAAGCGUGCGCAGGCUGUUUUGUAAGUCAGAUGUGAAAUCCCUGAGCUCAACUUAGGAACUGCGUUUGAAACUACAAGACUAGAAUAUGUCAGAGGGGGGUAGAAUUCCACGUGUAGCAGUGAAAUGCGUAGAGAUGUGGAGGAAUACCAAUGGCGAAGGCAGCCCCCUGGGAUAAUAUUGACGCUCAUGCACGAAAGCGUGGGGAGCAAACAGGAUUAGAUACCCUGGUAGUCCACGCCCUAAACGAUGUCUACUAGUUGUUGGUGGAGUAAAAUCCAUGAGUAACGCAGCUAACGCGUGAAGUAGACCGCCUGGGGAGUACGGUCGCAAGAUUAAAACUCAAAGGAUUGACGGNNGAGAGNGCGAGACGACGACGAGGAGGAGG
rnacentral:rRNA from 1 species